UUUUUUUCUUCUUCUUGAUCUCCUAGUUCAGAAAUCUAAUGAGGCUCGCUUUGCUUCUGUGGUGUGUAUGCGGGAAUGUCGUGUUCUGCUGAGCCGAGAGAGGGUAAAGGGCCGUGUUCUUAUCUUCGAAGCCAGCACCGUACAGACUGAUAUUGCGUUACAACGACGAGAGGUGGUCCACAGACUCUGUGCUCUUUAAUUAUU
rnacentral:misc_RNA from 1 species